rnacentral:tRNA from 1 species
GCCUUCGUGGUGUAACGGUAGCACACUCGGCGCGUAUUCGAGAGGUCUAGGUUCGAGUCCAGUCGAAGGCG